rnacentral:rRNA from 1 species
CCACGGCAUAUUGCUCAGUAACACGUGGAUAACCUACCCUUGGGACUGGGAUAACCCCGGGAAACUGGGGAUAAUAUCAGAUAGGUCAUAGACGCUGGAAUGCCCUUUGACUGAAAGCGAAAGCACCCAAGGAUGGAUCUGCGGCCCAUCAGGCUGUUGUCAGUGUAACGAACUGACAAACCUAUAAUGGGUACGGGCACUGAGAGGUGGAGCCCGGAGAUGGGUUCUGAGACAUGAACCCAGGGUCUACGGACCGCAGCAGGCGCGAAACCUUUGCAAUGCGGGAAACCGCGACAGGGGAACUCCGAGUGUCUGCACCUAGUGCAGACUUUUCAGAUGCCUAAAAAGCAUCUGGAAUAAGGGCCGGGUAAGACGGGUGCCAGCCGCCGCGGUAACACCCGCGGCCCAAGUGGUGGUCGUUUUUAUUGGGUCUAAAGGGUUCGUAGCCGGCCCAGCAAGUCCUUUGGGAAAUCCGGCGGCUUAACUGUCGGGCUUCUAAGGGAUACUACUGGGCUUGGGACCGGGUGAGGCUAGAGGUACUCCAGGGGUAGCGGUGAAAUGCUGUAAUCCUUGGGGGACUACCAGUGGCGAAGGCGUCUAGCCAGAACGGGUUCGACGGUGAGGGACGAAAGCUAGGGGCGCAAACGGGAUUAGAUACCCCGGUAGUCCUAGCCCUAAACGAUGCGGGCUGUGUGUCGGUCUUGACGCGAUUGAGACCGGUGCCGUAGGGAAGCUGUUAAGCCCGCCACCUGGGGAGUACGGUCGCAAGGCUGAAACUUAAAGGAAUUGGCGGGGGAGCACCACAACGGGUGGAGCCUGCGGUUUAAUUGGAUUCAACGCCGGAAAGCUCACCGGGUGCGACAGCUGUAUGAAGGCCAAGUUGGAGACUUUGCCAGACUAGCUGAGAGGAGGUGCAUGGCCGUCGACAGUUCGUAUCGUGAGACAUCCUGUUAAGUCAGGCAACGAGCGAGACCCGCAUCCAUAGUUGCCAGCGUCUUCUCCGGAAGACAGGUACUCUGUGGAGACCGCCUUUGCUAAAAAGGAGGAGGGAGCGGGCUACGGUAGGUCAGUAUGCCCCGAAUCUCCCGGGCUACACGCGGGCUACAAUGGUUGGGACAAUGGGACUCGACCCCGAAAGGGGAAGGUAAUCUCCUAAACCCAAUCUCAGUACAGACUGAGGGCUGAACUCGCCCUCACGAAGAUGGAUCCGUAGUAAUCGCGUUUCAACAUAACGCGG